UGCGCAAGCGGGGAAUCGAACCCGGGCCCCACCUUGGGAAGGAGGAAUUCUAGCCACUGAACUACUUGCGC
rnacentral:tRNA from 1 species